rnacentral:rRNA from 1 species
AGAAUCAACGCUGGCGGCGUGCCUAACACAUGCAAGUCGAACGAGAAAGGGGAGCAAUCCCUGAGUACAGUGGCGACCGGGUGAGUAACACGUGACUAACCUACCCUCGAGUGUGGAAUAACAUCGGGAAACCGAUGCUAAUACCGCAUAAUAUCGCAAGAUCAAAGGAGUAAUCCGCUUGAGGAGGGGGUCGCGGCUGAUUAGCUAGUUGGCGGGUAAUGGCCCACCAAGGCGAAGAUCGGUAUCCGGCCUGAGAGGGCGCACGGACACACUGGAACUGAAACACGGUCCAGACUCCUACGGGAGGCAGCAGUGGGGAAUUUUGCGCAAUGGGGGGAAACCCUGACGCAGCAACGCCGCGUGGAGGAUGAAGCCCCUUGGGGCGUAAACUCCUUUCGACCAAGACGAUAAUGACGGUACUGGUGGAAGAAGCACCGGCUAACUCUGCGCCAGCAGCCGC